rnacentral:rRNA from 1 species
GAUGAACGCUGGCGGCGUGCCUAAUACAUGCAAGUCGAGCGAACGGACGAGAGGCUGGGGUCGCUGAGGGUAGCGGAGGAGGGGAGAGGAACACGGGGAUAACAUAACUAUAAGAAUGGGAUAAUUUCGGGAAACCGGAGCUAAGACGGGAUAAUAUUUUGAACCGAAUGGGUCAAGAGUGAAAGACGGUAUUGCUGUCACUUAUAGAUGGAUCAGGGCUGCAUUAGCUAGUUGGUAAGGUAACGGAUUAACAAGGCAACGAUGCAUAGCCGACCUGAGAGGGAGAUUGGCCACACUGGCACUGAGACUCGUUAGCGACUCCUACGCGAGGACGCAGCAGGGACUCUUACGCAAUGGGCGAAAGCCUGACGUAGCACCGCCGCCUGAGUCCUGACGCUCUUCUGCCCGUAAAACUCUGUUAUUCGGGAAGUACAUAUGUGUAUGCACCUGUGCAGAUCUUGACGGUACCUAAUCAGAAAGCCCCGGCUAACUACGUG